rnacentral:rRNA from 1 species
UGAGGGAUUUUGCACAAUGGAGGAAACUCUGAUGCAGCGACGCCGCGUGCGGGACGAAGCCUUUCGGGGUGUAAACCGCUGUCAGUGGGGAAGAGUAGGGACGGUACCCACUGAGGAAGCAUCGGCUAACUACGUGCCAGCAGCCGCGGUAAGACGUAGGGUGCGAGCGUUGUCCGGAAUCACUGGGCGUAAAGAGCUCGUAGGCGGGGUCGCGCGUCGUGGAGUAAAUUUCUAUGCUCAACGUAGACAUCUUCUGCGAUACGGCGACUCUUGAGGACAGGAGAGGAAAGUGGAAUUCCGAGUGUAGCGGUGAAAUGCGUAGAUAUUCGGAGGAACACCAGUGGCGAAGGCGACUUUCUGGCCUGAUUCUGACGCUGAGGAGCGAAAGCCAGGGUAGCGAACGG